rnacentral:rRNA from 1 species
UACGUAGGGACCAAGCGUUGUUCGGAUUUACUGGACGUAAAGGGCGCGUAGGCGGCUUAACAAGUCACUUGUGAAAUCUCCGGGCUUAACUCGGAACGGCCAAGUGAAACUGUCAAGCUAGAGUGCAGAAGGGGCAAUCGGAAUUCUUGGUGUAGCGGUGAAAUGCGUAGAUAUCAAGAGGAACACCUGAGGUGAAGACGGGUUGCUGGGCUGACACUGACGCUGAGGCGCGAAAGCCAGGGGAGCAAACGGGG